AUCUAUGGCCACACCACCCUGAAUGCACCUGAUCUCAUCUGAUCUCAGAAGCUAAGCAGGGUGGGGCCUGGUUAGUACUUGGAUGGGAGGAACCCCAAAGAUCACCCGCAAACCACCACAAGCCAGGGAAG
rnacentral:rRNA from 1 species